rnacentral:rRNA from 1 species
UGGACAGAAAGACCCUAUGAAGCUUUACUGUAACUUGAAAUUGAAAUUGGACUUUAUUCGCGCAGCAUAGGUGGGAGGCGUUGAUUAUAAUCUUGCGGGAUUAUUGGAGCCAUCAGUGAGAUACCACCCUUGUAAUGUUAGAUUUCUAACUUUGAAUCAUUAUCUGGUCAAAGGACAGUUUCAGGCGGGCAGUUUGACUGGGGCGGUCGCCUCCUAAACGGUAACGGAGGCGUACAAAGGUUUCCUCUGAACGGUUAGAAAUCGUAUCUAGAGUGUAAAGGCAUAAGGAAGCUUGACUGUGAGACCUACAAGUCGAGCAGGGACGAAAGUCGGUCUUAGUGAUCUGACGGUACUGAGUGGAAAGGCCGUCACUCAACGGAUAAAAGUUACUCUAGGGAUAACAGGCU